UGAGGAACAUGACUUUCGGCGGGGGAUAGCCGGCCCAACGGCCGGGUAAUACCGCGUACGACCUUUUGGGGACAUCCCCGAUUGGUGAAAGCAGCAAUGCGCCGAAAGAGUGCCUCGCGGCCUAUCAGCUAGUUGGUGGGGUAAUGGCUCACCAAGGCGACGACGGGUAGCUGGUCUGAGAGGAUGGCCAGCCACAUUGGGACUGAGACACGGCCCAGACUCCGUACGGGAGGCAG
rnacentral:rRNA from 1 species